UACAGAGGUCUCGAGCGUUAGGCGGAAUCACUGGGCGUAAAGGGCGCGUAGGUGGCCACCAUAAGGCCGCGGUGAAAGUUCGGGGCUCAACCCCGAAUCGGCCGCGGCGACUGUGGGGCUCGGGUACUGUAGAGGCAGAUGGAAUUCCGGGUGUAGCGGUGGAAUGCGCAGAUAUCAGGAGGAACACCGGUGGCGAAGGCGGGUCUCUGGGCCGUAACUGACGCUGAGGAGCGAAAGCGUGGGGAGCGAACAGG
rnacentral:rRNA from 1 species